rnacentral:lncRNA from 1 species
UGGCCUCAAUCAACAAAUGGUAAAUGGAUUGUUUGGACAUGGUUUUAAUUGGGCAUUAAUGGCGGGGUGUGUAGCUAAGCCGUGGAAAGUGGCGGUCCUGGGGGGACCAAAAUCAAAAACUCAUAUUUGCCGAUAUAAGGGGUCUUGAUGACCAAGUGCGAGUGUCACGUUUUAUAUUAGAGGAAUGUACUAGUCAUCCCAUAGGAGUGCGGCUACACACACUAGGGCCCUUUCAACAGGGGGAGCUGAGCCCAUAUCACCUAUGGGUGGUUAGAAUGACCAAACUAAGCAACCCAGGUAAAGGUUUUAAGUGGAUGCUAAACUCGAUCCCUUUUCCCGACACUUAUAUAUGUAUGGUUGUAUGCAUAUGGAUGAUUUUACUUGGUUUUAUAACUGACAUUAUUUUAUUCUUACCCUGAGUUUCAUGCUAGCGGUCAUUUGCUAACCCCAUCUACUGGCGGC